GACGAACGCUGGCGGCGUGCUUAACACAUGCAAGUCGAACGGAAAGGCCCUGCUUUUGUGGGGUGCUCGAGUGGCGAACGGGUGAGUAACACGUGAGUAACCUGCCCUUGACUUUGGGAUAACUUCAGGAAACUCGGGCUCAUACCGGAUAUGAGCUCCUGCUGCAUGGUGGUGGUUGGAAAGUUUCGGCCGUGCGGGCUGGACUCGCGGCUUAUCAGCUUGUUAGUGUGGUAGUGGUUUACCAAGGGUGUGACGGGUAGGCGGCCUGAGAGGGGUGCCGGCGACCUGGGGACUGAGAUACGGACCAGACUCCUACGGGAGGCAGCAGGCGGGAAUAUUACGCAACGGGCGGGAGCCUGAUGCAGCAACGCCGCGUGCGUGAUGACGGCCUUCGGGGUGUAAACCGCUUUCGCCGGUGACGAAGCGUGAGUGACGGUAAUGGGUAAAGAAGCACCGGCUAACUACGUG
rnacentral:rRNA from 1 species